GAAGAAAUGCUGAAUUGAAAUAAAAAGCCAUCUGGGCAUGCUACAACAGAUCCUGAGCAGCACGCUAGCACAGGCUGGAGGAGCGAAAAGAGAGAGAGGGACAGAGAGAGAGAGAGAGAGAGAGAGAGAGAGAUGAACUAGAAGGAUCCUGCAUCCCAAGUUCCUAGACAAUAUUUGCAGUAAAGGAGAAUCAGAGUACGGCGAAAAUGAACGGACAGAACGUUCUGAAGGAGGGGCAGUUGGAGAAGAGGAGCGACGGCUUAUUGCAGCUUUGGAAAAGGAAGAACUGCCUGUUGACGGACGAGGGGCUGUGCAUCCACGAUCCGAAGGCAAGCCGGUCAAAAUGCAAAGUGCUCGCCUUUGAAAACAUGAAGACGGUGGACUGCGUGGAGAGGAAAGGCAGAUACAUCUAUUUCACCAUCGUGAUGGCAGAUAACAAGGAAAUUGACUUCAGGUGCCUGGAAGACUCGACGUGGAACGCCGAGAUCACACUGGGCAUGGUGCAGUUUAAGAACCGCCAGGCGAUUCAGUCUGUGAAAUCCCGACAGCUGGCUCACAUCUGCACGCCAACUGCAAUCAGCACCAUGUCCUGAUCCAAAGACACCAGGGUGAGUUGGUGGUCAGCAGAAUGCUUCUUUGUCGCAUCACCGCCGCCUUCUCCCACUGAAGGCUGCGUGUUGUUUACCAGUAUUAACAAUAUGCAAAAGAAAUGAACAAUACUUCACCUGCAACCAAACAAUACUGAAUGGACAGGAUUAAUUGUGUCUGCUGCCAUCAAUAAGAAUAUACAUCAGUUCAACCAAAUGACAAUCAUGAAUCAAAAUAGAUGUAUUUUCAUGAAAAGGACUAUAAUAAUUUAGAAACAGAUUCAUUAUUCACAAAAUGCUUCUAAGUCUUAAUUUUUUAUUUAUUAAAUGACCAAUAUUCACUGUAGUGAUGACUUCAUUAAAGUCAUGCAUAAUACAUUGUAAAUUACUCUGCCGACUUUAUUUAUUUAGAUAUAUUGUCUUUCCAAUGCUUCACAUUGUGAUUUUACUCUGCCAAAAGGGAAAUCUUGCAAUCUGUAUGACAGUUUUUUUGUCUGAAACGCUGUAAAUAAAAACAGAUGACUACG